rnacentral:rRNA from 1 species
GACGAACGCUGGCGGCGUGCUUAACACAUGCAAGUCGAACGGAAAGGCCCUGCUUGCAGGGUACUCGAGUGGCGAACGGGUGAGUAACACGUGGGUGAUCUGCCCUGCACUUCGGGAUAAGCUUGGGAAACUGGGUCUAAUACCGGAGAGGAGCCAUCUUGAUGGGGGGGGUGGGAAGGUUUUUUCGGUGUAGGAUGGGUUCGCGCCCGAUCUGCGUGUUGGUGGGGUAAUGGCCUACCAAGCCGGGGACGGGUAGCCGGCCGGAGAGGGGGUGCGGCCACAUUGGGACUGAGAUACGGCGCAGACUCCUACGGGAGGCAGCAGUGGGGAAUAUUGCACAAUGGGCGCAAGCCUGAUGCAGCGACGCCGCGUGGGGGAUGAAGGCCUUCGGGUUGUAAACUCCUUUCGCUAGGGACGAAGCUUUGUUGUGACGGUACCUAGAUAAGAAGCACCGGCUAACUACGUG